ACAACGUUUGUGGCAUUCGAUCUACCCAGCAAUUUCACCCGCUCGAUGGAAGAUCUUCCCUUUGUCGU
rnacentral:pre_miRNA from 1 species